UUGACAACUUCUGACGGUGGAUCUCUUGGCUCGUGCAUCGAUGAAGAACGCAGCAAGCUGCGAUAUCUAGUGUGAAUUGCAGAAUUCAGUGAAUCAUCGAGUCUUUGAACGCAAAUGGCGCUCCCGGGGCCUCCUCGGGAGCAGGUCUGUCCGAGCGUCUGCCAACCGAAUCAGUCGUCGCCUAGCGGACGACGAGAUUGAGGGACUGCGGUGACGCCUUUGUGCCGCACUCCUUGAAGAGAGCCAGGAAUCCGUGCGGUCAAUGUGGGGCCGUGACGGUGUUACGACGAGACGGUCGUCACAACGGCGCAAGAAGUUGUGCGACCGAUUCUUGUGCGGUGGCCGUCACGUGUGCCCACCUGCACCCACGGUCUCAGGAAAGC
rnacentral:misc_RNA from 1 species